AACGAACGCUGGCGGCAUGCCUAACACAUGCAAGUCGAACGAAGUCUUCGGACUUAGUGGCGCACGGGUGCGUAACGCGUGGGAAUCGGCCCUUUGGUACGGAAUAACUCAGGGAAACUUGUGCUAAUACCGUAUGAUGUCUUCGGACCAAAGAUUUAUCGCCAAAGGAUGAGCCCGCGUAGGAUUAGCUAGUUGGUGAGGUAAAGGCUCACCAAGGCGACGAUCCUUAGCUGGUCUGAGAGGAUGAUCAGCCACACUGGGACUGAGACACGGCCCAGACUCCUACGGGAGGCAGCAGUGGGGAAUAUUGGACAAUGGGGGCAACCCUGAUCCAGCAAUGCCGCGUGAGUGAUGAAGGCCUUAGGGUUGUAAAGCUCUUUUACCCGGGAAGAUAAUGACUGUACCGGGAGAAUAAGCCCCGGCUAACUCCGUGCCAGCAGCCGCCGUAA
rnacentral:rRNA from 1 species